rnacentral:rRNA from 1 species
CCUACGGGAGGCAGCAGUGAGGAAUAUUGGUCAAUGGACACAAGUCUGAACCAGCCAUGCCGCGUGCAGGAAGACGGCCCUAUGAGUUGUAAACUGCUUUUGUACGAGGGUAAACGCAGAUACGCGUAUCUGUCUGAAUGUAUCGUACGAAUAAGGAUCGGCUAACUCCGUGCCAGCAGCCGCGGUAAUACGGAGGAUUCAAGCGUUAUCCGGAUUUAUUGGGUUUAAAGGGUGCGUAGGCGGUCGGAUAAGUUAGAGGUGAAAUCCCGAGGCUCAACUUCGGAAUUGCCUCUGAUACUGGUCGGCUAGAGAGUAGUUGCGGUAGGCGGAAUGUAUGGUGUAGCGGUGAAAUGCUUAGAGAUCAUGCAGAACACCGAUUGCGAAGGCAGCUUACCAAGCUACUACUGACGUUGAGGCACGAAAGCGUGGGUAGCAAACAGGAUUAGAUACCCCAGUAGUC